rnacentral:tRNA from 1 species
UGGACUGUAGCUCAAUGGUAGAGCAAUUGCCUGGAAGACAUGAGAGCCUGGGUUCAAAUCCCCAGUGCCAA